GACGAACGCUGGCGGCGUGCCUAAUACAUGCAAGUUGAGCGCUGAAGGUUGGUACUUGUACCAACUGGAUGAGCAGCGAACGGGUGAGUAACGCGUGGGGAAUCUGCCUUUGAGCGGGGGACAACAUUUGGAAACGAAUGCUAAUACCGCAUAAAAACUUUAAACACAAGUUUUAAGUUUGAAAGAUGCAAUUGCAUCACUCAAAGAUGAUCCCGCGUUGUAUUAGCUAGUUGGUGAGGUAAAGGCUCACCAAGGCGAUGAUACAUAGCCGACCUGAGAGGGUGGUCGGCCACAUUGAGACUGAGACACGGCCCAAACGCCUACGGGAGGCAGCAGUAGGGAAUCUUCGGCAAUGGACGAAAGUCUGACCGAGCAACGCCGCGUGAGUGAAGAGGGUUUUCGGAUCGUAAAACUCUGUUGGUAGAGAAGAACGUUGGUGAGAGUGGAAAGCUCAUCAAGUGACGGUAACUACCCAGAAAGGGACGGCUAACUACGUG
rnacentral:rRNA from 1 species